AUAGUUAUACAAGUACAACACGAAGUGAAAUGUGUCCUGAAAUGCUCCUCGACUGUGCAAAAAGACACAUAAUAUACAGUAAGUGAAUAUGUACAAGGAGUAUAUGCAGUAAGUGGGUGAAUUAUAUACAUUAAGUAAAUUUAAAUAAAAUAAAACAAUCUGAAAAUUUAAGUUAAAAAACUGAGAAUGUACAUUGUGCAAGUGGGAUGCUAAAGUGUCUUGUGCCGUAGUGAGGCCAGAAUAAUCAUGGUUGAUUUGAGGAUGUGGUAAGAAUAAGUCCUCAGUCACUUAAGGAUGCUGGGGGGGGGGCACGGAUGGCCUGAGGAUAGAAGCUCCUCUUUAGUCUCCCUGUUUUUGCCUGGAUAGUGCAGAACCUUCUGCCCGAUUCCAGAAAUUGGAACAGAUUGUUGCUGGGGUGAGACGGGUCCUUCAUUAUCUCAACAUCUCCUUGUGAAAAUGUCCUAUAGGGAGGGUUGAGUAGCCCUGCAGCAGCAUUGCGCUGUACCGAUCUCUCUCUGAGGACCUUUUUUUUUCCUUAACGCAGUUGUUCCCAUACCAGGAGAUGUUCUGCGUUCUCCACAGCGUCUGCAUAGAAAGUCUUGAGGAUCACUGGAGAGACCCCGAACUUCCUAGCCUUUUUGGACUGGACCUGAUUGUGGGCAGACCAUGUCAGGUCUGAGGAGAUGUGCACACCGAGAUACUUGAAGGACCGCACCCUCUUCACUGGAGCUCCAUUGGUGAUAAUGGGCUUGUAGUCUCUGUUCAACAAAUCAAAAAGCAGGAGAAGAGGGGUACUCUUCUUAAUCAAAGCAUCUGCCCCAGAGCUAACCCAGCAAGCUACAAAGUCUCAUCAUCAUCAUCAUCAUCAUCCAUGGGAACCAAUCAAUAAUUCAGCAUGCUGCCCAAUGCAUCACUAUGCAUAGAGAUUUCAGCUCAGUCCUGGACAGUCAGAGGAUUCUCAUACAUAGGAAAUGGAGCUAUUCACCGAAGACCAAUAACAAGGAGUAAAUGGCAAAUGCAAGCCUAUAAUCCCCAUCGCUGUAUUUUAUUCCCCUCUGGCCAAUUGAAGAUAUACAGCAUUUUUGCUGCUGCUGGUCUUGGAAACACAGCGGCCAACAUCAUAUCCAGAGGGAAGCUUCCAGUGAACAUGAGGUAUCCAGCCCGGUAUUCACUAAUUACCAGAACUCACCUGGUUCCUCGACACUGCUCCGUUUGGACUUGCCUACUCACUAAUCACCUACCUGCCUGCCCUCCUGGACUGGGGAGCAUAAUCCGUUGGUUUUCUUUGGCUCAGAAACCCCUCAAACCCCUCUUGAUACCUCCUCCUGAGAAUGUCAGCUCACAAUGCUUUCCCUCCCUGUGACCCUGGACUCUUGUUCUGACCUCUCCCAUAUUAGCUGGUUUCUCAUAGUCAGUUGUUUCAAUAAAGUGUUUGCAUCAACUAGAGUUGCCUAGUUUGAGUCUGCA